AGCCUGAUGCAGCGACGCCGCGUGAGGGAUGACGGCCUUCGGGUUGUAAACCUCUUUCAGCAGGGAAGAAGCCACAAGUGACGGUACCUGCAGAAGAAGCGCCGGCUAACUACGUGCCAGCAGCCGCGGUAAUACGUAGGGCGCAAGCGUUGUCCGGAAUUAUUGGGCGUAAAGAGCUCGUAGGCGGUUUGUCGCGUCUGCUGUGAAAGCCCGGGGCUUAACCCCGGGUGUGCAGUGGGUACGGGCAGACUAGAGUGCAGUAGGGGAGACUGGAAUUCCUGGUGUAGCGGUGGAAUGCGCAGAUAUCAGGAGGAACACCGAUGGCGAAGGCAGGUCUCUGGGCUGUUACUGACGCUGAGGAGCGAAAGCAUGGGGAGCGAACAGGAUU
rnacentral:rRNA from 1 species